rnacentral:rRNA from 1 species
GACGAACGCUGGCGGCGUGCUUAACACAUGCAAGUCGAACGGAAAGGCCCUGCUUUUGUGGGGUGCUCGAGUGGCGAACGGGUGAGUAACACGUGAGUAACCUGCCCUUGACUUUGGGAUAACUUCAGGAAACUGGGGCUAAUACCGGAUAGGAGCUCCUGCUGCAUGGUGGGGGUUGGAUAGUUUCGGCGGUUGGGGAUGGACUCGCGGCUUAUCAGCUUGUUGGUGGGGUAGUGGCUUACCAAGGCUUUGACGGGUAGCCGGCCUGAGAGGGUGACCGGCCACAUUGGGACUGAGAUACGGACCAGACUCCUACGGGAGGCAGCAGUGGGGAAUAUUGCACAAUGGGCGGAAGCCUGAUGCAGCAACGCCGCGUGCGGGAUGACGGCCUUCGGGUUGUAAACCGCUUUCGCCUGUGACGAAGCGUGAGUGACGGUAAUGGGUAAAGAAGCACCGGCUAACUACGUG